GACGAACGCUGGCGGCGUGCUUAACACAUGCAAGUCGAACGGUGAAGCGCCUUCCUUUUUGGUGGGUGUGGAUGAGUGGCGAACGGGUGAGUAACACGUGAGUAACCUGCCCCCUUCUUCUGGAUAACCGCAUGAAAGUGUGGCUAAUACGGGAUAUUCUGGGUCUGUCGCAUGAUGGGUCUGGGAAAGAUAUUGUUUCGGUGGGGGAUGGGCUCGCGGCCUAUCAGCUUGUUGGUGGGGUGAUGGCCUACCAAGGCGGUGACGGAUAGCCGGCCUGAGAGGGUGGACGGUCACACUGGGACUGAGACACGGCCCAGACUCCUACGGGAGGCAGCAGUGGGGAAUAUUGCACAAUGGGCGCAAGCCUGAUGCAGCGACGCCGCGUGAGGGAUGGAGGCCUUCGGGUUGUGAACCUCUUUCGCCAGUGAAGCAGGCCUGCCUCGUUUGUGGGUGGGUUGACGGUAGCUGGAUAAGAAGCGCCGGCUAACUACGUG
rnacentral:rRNA from 1 species